GCCAGAGAUUGAACACCACCAGGUCUGGCCAGUGAGGUGGACGAGGACACUGUAAUUCUUCUAGGAGCCUGCCUUGCUGUUGGAGGGCGAUCAGCAGCAGCAUUCCCUGUAGUUGUAAUGAUGCCACAGAGACAUCCACGAAGGAGGACUUCAGAAGGAGAUACAGAAAUGACUACUGAAUUUAUAACACACCAUGCACAUGACAAGAGCCCAAAUGGAAGUAACACAAAAGAGGUAAGGAAGUAGCAAGGACAGAACUAAUUUCGU
rnacentral:lncRNA from 1 species